GCACUGAUGGUGUAAGGGUAACAUCUAAGCUUCCCAUUCCUCAAUUCAUUGAGAAUUUGAUAGCCUGCUUAGGCACCGAGUUCGAGUCUCGGUCAGUGCA